rnacentral:snRNA from 1 species
AGCUUUGCACAAUGGCAGUAUCAUAGCCAAUGAGGUUUAUCCGAGGCACAAUUAUUGCUAAUUGAAAACUUUUCCCAAUUCCCCGCCAUGAUGACUUGAAUAUAGUUGGCACAGGCAAUUUUUUUUUUAUUGUUUUUUAAU